rnacentral:tRNA from 1 species
GGAUCGGUGGUCGAGUGGCCGAUGGCGCCCGGUUGCUAACCGGGAGGACUUAACCGUCCCGAGGGUUCGAAUCCCUCCCGAUCCG